CACAGAUUAAUCCAUUCCGUAUUGACCUUUGAACCUGGAGCCGUUCUAGCCACCAUUCGACUGUAAAAUGAAGGAGAGAGACGACUGCUGCGCUGACGGACAGAACGAGCAGAGCUCCUCCCUUGUGCACGCGAGCUCUCUCUGUUUUCAAAAUCCAGCUCCCGUCUGUGUCUCUGGCUGUGAGUGUGUUGCUGUAUAUAGCUCAGUGCUGAUGGGGAGAGACCAGACCUUGACUCAUAAAGAUGAUAAAGUCUGCUGCGGCGUCAGGCCUGGACACUCAGAGAGGCCGAAUAUUGUAGAACUGGAGUCACCAAUCUCAAAUUCUCACUGGUCAGAGGAUCAGUCUCCAUCAGAUUGUGAACUUAUGGCCACAUGAGGAAGUGUCACAAAUCCUUGUGUUGUCCUUGCCGUGCACCAUCCCAAUUGAAGUCAAUGGAUUUGCAGCAUUCUUUAAACUGUAGUGUGUACGUGCCCACAGUUUUAGUGUAGUUGUUGAUGCACUGCUUGUGUUACAGCUGUAAAAAUAAACACACACCAACACAGCAUGUAUAAAACAACAGACUCUCAGCACUGAAACGCUCAUACAUACAAACAUCUCACAGCGACGCGUGCGUUUUUUACCAUCCAAACACACAUUCCCAGUGCUGUUUACCCUUGAAUCCAAGUUGCAUCAUCUCUGUGUGUGUGUGUGUGUGUGUGUGUGUGGGUUCAGUGCUUUGGAGGCAG